rnacentral:rRNA from 1 species
UACAGAGGGUGCAAGCGUUAAUCGGAAUGACUGGGCGUAAAGCGUGUGUAGGUGGUUGGAUAAGUUAGAUGUGAAAUCCCUGGGCUUAACCUGGGCACUGCGUUUAAGACUGUUUAACUAGAGUAUUGUAGAGGAUAGUGGAAUUUCCAGUGUAGCGGUGAAAUGCGUAGAUAUUGGAAGGAACACCAGUGGCGAAGGCGACUAUCUGGACAGAUACUGACACUGAGACACGAAAGCGUGGGGAGCAAACAGG